CUGAGGAGCUCUGCUUUCUGCAGCUAGAAGUCUUCCAGACAGCAAAGCCACACCAGGCUUGGACAGUCCUUGCAUAGGAGACCUCUAGGGAAAAAGCCAGGAGCUGCAGGACGUGAUGUUGGCAAUUUAGUGAGUGGUGUCUCCUCCUCCAGUCAGCCGGUGUGGUCAGAACACGUAUUUCUACCUGCUCACCUGGCCGUGCUAUUCUUCAGCAAUCUCGGUCUCCUGGUGGACGACGACCUUGGUCACAGACAUGUCCGGGUGCUGCUCUUUUGCUUCUUUGAUGGCCUGCACUAGAACCUGAGAAAGAAACAUCUCUUCAGAGAAGCACAGUGGGCUGCAAACAGCUGAACAAAGUGAAUUUCACUGCAGUCUCUCCCAUGUCACCAUAUCAGACACUGGGUGAAAUCCUGGCCUCAUUGAUGUCCAUGGCAAAACUCCCAUUCAUUUCAGUGGAGGCAGGAUUUCACCUAGUGGCUGCAGCCUUGGGCAGCAGGCCUGCCUGCCACUCCCACCCAGACCAGAGGGGAGCC